rnacentral:rRNA from 1 species
CGUGCGGGAUGAAGGCCUUCGGGUUGUAAACCGCUUUCAGUAGGGAAGAAGCGAAAGUGACGGUACCUACAGAAGAAGCACCGGCUAACUAUGUGCCAGCAGCCGCGGUAAUACAUAGGGUGCAAGCGUUGUCCGGAAUUAUUGGGCGUAAAGAGCUCGUAGGUGGUUUGAUACGUCGGGUGUGAAAUUCAGGGGCUCAACCCCUGACCUGCAUUCGAUACGGUCAAGCUAGAGUUUGGUAGGGGAGACUGGAAUUCCUGGUGUAGCGGUGGAAUGCGCAGAUAUCAGGAGGAACACCGAUGGCGAAGGCAGGUCUCUGGGCCAAUACUGACACUGAGGAGCGAAAGCGUGGGGAGCGAACAGGAUUAGAUACCCUGGUAGUCCACGCCGUAAACGGUGGGCGCUAGUUGUGCGAACCUUCACGGUUUGUGCGACGCAGCUAACGCAUUAAGCGCCCCGCCUGGGGAGUACGAUCGCAAGAUUAAAACUCAAAGGAAUUGACGGGGCCCCGCACAAGCAGCGGAGCAUGCGGCUUAAUUCGACGCAACGCGAAGAACCUUACCAAGGCUUGACAUAUACAGGAAUACGGC